CUUCCUUCUUUUUUCUUAAUAAAUUAUUGACGCAUACAAAAAAAUUACGCAUCUAAAUCACAACCAGUACUUACAAGUAAUAAUAACUGGAAGAAAGAAAAAAAGAAGGAACAGCUCUUAUCAUGGGCCGGAAUUGGAUGGGGAACGCGGCAGCGGCGGCCGGCGGUAGCCCGCGAAGGAGAAGGAGCAGCUCUUAUCGUGCGGCAUGGAGGAAUGCUUCCACCUCCUCAGCAUCGACAGCGCAGAAGAGGCGGGAGCGGCCGCUCCCGCGCUGCUAUGUCCCACUCCCUCUCACGGAGGCAACGUGGGCGGGCGGGCGACGACCUUGAUGUGUGGAUGAUCGGGAGGAUGAGCUCGGGUGUCGGGCGCUCGGGAUUGACGGGCAGCCGGACGGGACGGCCCUCAGGCGUGGGCUCCUCUUCCCCAAUGCAAGCCGCCAAGCAUUAGUGAUAGAUCAAUGGAAUCGGCGGUGGUGGGGUCGAGGUCGUCUUGUUCAUCAAUGGCCGGCGAGUGUCUGGACACAAGAAUGGCCCUCCUCAUCUGCUUCCACCAGCCCCAUCUGCCUCCUCAGGUCAGUCAGUACUCGUGGACCGACCGUUGGCAUCGCAAAGAGGCGGACUGGCGGAGAAUGGCACUCCCUUUGUAGCGAUGAACGCAACUGCCACGCUUCUGUCGCCAGCCAUCGCCGUGACUUCGCUGUGAGCAAGUUUACCUAGGUGCUCAGUUAAGUUCUUGCAUUUUAGCUCAAGAAUUCAUCCGCGCUGAGGUAAAAAGAAUGUUAUGGCUCAUGAAGCGGAUUGUCAGGUACGAAAUAUCUUGGAAUGGUUCCUCUGCUGUGGUACACGUAAGAGCUAUGUCCUAUAAGUUUAUUGAAAAAUUACGAUCUAAUUGGACCGAAAUUCCCAUGGCUAGUAUCUUACAUGUAUGAAUAGACUUAUUGGAUUACUAAGUUCUGUUUUUUUGAAAAAUAAUAGUAAAAACAACUCUUUAUAAUGGAAAUAUUCCCAUGACAA